rnacentral:rRNA from 1 species
CCUACGGGAGGCAGCAGUGAGGAAUAUUGGUCAAUGGUCGCGAGCCUGAACCAGCCAAGUAGCGUGAAGGAUGACUGUCCUACGGGUCGUAAACCUCUUUUAUAAAGGAAUAAAGUGAGGCACGUGUGCCCUUUUGUAUGUACUUUAUGAAUAAGGAUCGGCUAACUCCGUGCCAGCAGCCGCGGUAAUACGGAGGAUCCGAGCGUUAUCCGGAUUUAUUGGGUUUAAAGGGAGCGUAGAUGGGUUGUUAAGUCAGUUGUGAAAGUUUGCGGCUCAACCGUAAAAUUGCAAUUGAUACUGGCAGGCUAGAGUACAGUUGAGGUAGGCGGAAUUCAUGGUGUAGCGGUGAAAUGCUUAGAUAUCACGCAGAACUCCGAUUGCGAAGGCAGCUUACUAAACUGCGACUGACAUUGAUGCUCGAAAGUGUGGGGAGCAAACAGGAUUAGAUACCCUUGUAGUC